GAUCCUGGCUUAGGACGAACGCUGGCGGUGUGCCUUAUACAUGCAAGUCGAACGAGAAGUACCUUCGGGUAAUGGAAAGUGGCGGACGGGUGAGUACAACAUAGGAAAUCUGCCCUAAAGCGGGGGACAACAGAGGGAAACUCCUGCUAAUACCCCAUAUGAGCUUAGUUGAAAUACUAAUCUUGAAAGAUUUAUCACUUUAGGAUGAGCCUGUGCCUGAUUAGCUAGUUGGUGGUGUAAUGGACUACCAAGGCGACGAUCAGUAGCUGGUUUGAGAGGAUGAUCAGCCACAAUGGGACUGAGACACGGCCCAUACUCCUACGGGAGGCAGCAGUAGGGAAUUUUGCGCAAUGGGGGAAACCCUGACGCAGCAACACCGCGUGAAUGUUAAGCCCUUCGGGGUGUAAAGUUCUGUCAAUAGGGAAGAAUAAAUGACUGUACCUAUAAAGGAAGCACCGGCUAACUCCGUGCCAGCCGCGGC
rnacentral:rRNA from 1 species